UCCAGUGCAAGCGAGUCUCCUGCCUUAGCCUCCUGAGUAGCUGGGAUUACAGGGAGUGGACAUGCAGAUUGCCUCCAUACCCUCCGACUACAGGAAAUGCUGAAAUUAAUCAUCUCAUACAUAUCCCUUUAUGGGCCAGUUUGACAGUUUCUUAGGCCACCGAAUUUCUGGGUCAUAGGAUAUGAGUUUACUUGACUAAGUGGUGCCAAAUUCCCUCCAGAUUGGUUGUACGAGUCCAGACUUCCACCACUAUGGAAUGAGAGUUUCCAUAUCCCACAUCUGCAUGAACACAGCACUGUGUAGCUCUCUCAUAGUUAUCAGUCUAAAAGUUAUAAAGUAGUAUUUCUUUGUAGUAUUAAUGUGCAUUUCUCUGAUUGCCAGUGAUUUUGAAUAUCUUUUAUGCUUGUUAGCUUUUUCAGCUUCUUUGUUUGUAAAUUGCCUUUUGUACCUUUUGUUAAAAUGUAAUUGGGAUUAGUCUUUUUCUUGUUAAUUUGCAAAUGUUUCUUACAUUUUCUAGAUAUUAGCUCCCUGACAGUUUUAGAACUCUGCUGAUACCCUCUUAUGUAUUCUGUUUAUUAUAUUUUUUAUUAAAUAGAAAUACUUAUUUUAA